UGAGCAACCUGCCCUUGACUCUGGAAUAACAGUUGGAAACAGCUGCUAAUACCGGAUAUGACCUCUGACGACAUCGUCUGGAGGUGGAAAGCUCCGGCGGAGAAGGAUGAGCUCGCGGCCUAUCAGCUAGUUGGUGUGGGUAAUGGCCCACCAAGGCGACGACGGGUAGCCGGCCUGAGAGGGUGACCGGCCACACUGGGACUGAGACACGGCCCAGACCUCUACGGGA
rnacentral:rRNA from 1 species